GUUCUUUGUAGAUUCUGGAUAUUAUGGAUGUACAGAUUGUGAAGACUUUCUCCCACUCUGGGUUGUCAGUUAACUGUGCUGAUUAUUUCUUUAGCCAUGCAGAAGCUUUUUAGUAAUUAAGUUUCAUCUACUUAUCUUUAUUUUUGUUGCUUUUUGCUUUUGGGU